AUUGCUUCAAUUAAUAGGCAAAGAUAUAUUUCCAUGUGCAAAAGUUCUCCUUGUGGUUGAGUGUAACUUUUUACUUGGAAACUAACUGAGAAAUGCUUUUAACUCAGUGUUUUAACAAAUUAAAGUUCAAAUUGACCCUUGAAUUAUAUUCAUGAAUUUGGCUCAAAAUAAAGUUCCUGGUCAAAUUAACUACUUCUAUUUUGUAGCCAAUUUAGCCUAAUGGUUUGAAAGGAUGAAUAAAAU
rnacentral:misc_RNA from 1 species